UAAGACGUAGGGCGCGAGCGUUGUCCGGAUUUAUUGGGCGUAAAGAGCUCGUAGGCGGCUUGUCGCGUCGUCCGUGAAAACUUGGGGCUCAACCCCAAGCUUGCGGUCGAUACGGGCAGGCUCGAGUUCGGUAGGGGAGACUGGAAUUCCUGGUGUAGCGGUGAAAUGCGCAGAUAUCAGGAGGAACACCGGUGGCGAAGGCGGGUCUCUGGGCCGAUACUGACGCUGAGGAGCGAAAGCGUGGGGAGCGAACAGGAUUAGAUACCCUGGUAGUCCACGCUGUAAACGUUGGGCGCUAGGUGUGGGGGGCCUCUCCGGUUCUCUGUGCCGCAGCUAACGCAUUAAGCGCCCCGCCUGGGGAGUACGGCCGCAAGGCUA
rnacentral:rRNA from 1 species